rnacentral:lncRNA from 1 species
AUGAUCCCAACUUCCAGAGCCCUCCUGGCCCUGUCUGUCAUCCCAGCUGAAAGAAACUCCAUUCAAGCUGUCCAACUUGGGCCAGCAUGAGCAGGCAGAGCUCACAGAUGGUUAAAUGCAUUUGACAUUUCACUGCAGGGCCUGCAGCAGAAAUCCUUGCCUGCUGUAUCUGGAGCCCUGGAUAGGAGCGAAUCAAGGCUCGUGGCUCCAGCACUGUGUGUGCACACUCUGCUGUGAGUUAAUAUUAUUGGCUCGCCCCUCAAUCAUGCCUUUUCCAGCUAGCUGCUCCUGUCAAAGCACAUCUCAUUAGGCCUGAAGGCUCAAUGAAAUGGAAAUUCAUGUUUAAAUUUAAAAACAACAUAUUGACCCUGGGAGCCAGUGAUGUCUACAUUUUUAAUAACUUACUGAGAAUAAAAGGAGUGUAUGUGUAGGAGGGAGGGGGAGGGCUGGGUGGCAGGAGGAAGAGGGAAUGUAGAAGUGGAGGUAGGACAAACGGAUGGGGUGAAUAGCCAUCCAAGGUCUCUGGUCCUCUCCACUUCCCUCCAGCCCCAUUCUCACUUUUUUUGUCCCUCUUGCUGCAUGGAGAAGAGCUCAGGCUUCACUUAAAGGGACCUCAAAGCCUCAAGGGGAGAUCAUGUCCCUAAUCUGGUACAAAAACAGUGAGGGAGGAGGAGGAGAGCCCUGUCUCUGCACACACAGAGGCAUGCUCACUCCUGCGCAGACACGUGAACACACAUGUGUGAACCCUGGUCCCCGAGCCCCAAGCAUCCCAGUGAGCUGCAUUUCCCUUGUACAGAGGAGUAGUGUGCUGCAGAGCGCAAGUGAACACGGAGCCUUUUGGAGGAGGAGGAGGACAUGAACACAGCUACACUGCAUAUGAUUUGCCAUGUGGCACAACCCCAGCCCCCCUGUGCCUUGCUCUGACAUCAUUCCCAGGGAGGCAUGUACAGCUCCUGCCACCACAAUGGGUUAGGUAAUCUAGGGGGAGGCAGAGACAGCAUGUCUUAUCCUGUGUGAUUACAGGAGAAGCAAUGCUCCUUUCUGAUGGGCUUUAUUGUUCCCUGGUAGCACCCAGGGAGCUGAAGAUGGUGAGGCAGAGUUCAGAUGCCCUCUUGUUAUGUGAUCACUGUACCCUCCAUGGCAGUAGGUAUUUUUAGCAGGGGGGUUUUGGGUGGGUUUUUUUGGGGGGUUCUUUUUCUUUUUUUUUGAAAACAAGAGAUCUGACAAUGUCAUCUUGGCUGGCAUCCACCUCGGGGAAUCACAGGCUGUAUGGAUAAACCUGCUCUGGCUGCUGCAUCUCCAGACAGAAAUGGGUUGCUGUGUUAAUGCACUAUAGCAAGAGUCUCCUGGUGGAAGCUACAUCUUAACAGGAGGUUGAAGUCAAAAUCUGAGGAGAGCACAAAAGGUGAAUUCACAAAAAAGUGAAUUUACAACAAGUUUUAGAAGGUUGUAUGUAAUUCCUAUAGAUGAGCAAAGUAUGCAUAAUAAACACGUGAGAGCUGAGAUCACUCUCCAAAGAGCUCACUGAUUUCUCCUGUGCUCCCCUCCCUUUUUCAGCUCAGUAUUCCAAAGGUACUCUAGUGUUGUCUCUGGUCUCUGACUCAGCCCUAGUCUUCUGUCUGGCUCAGGGGGAUGUGCUUCUCUGUGUACCAGGAAUAUGAGCAAAACAGGACUGAAGACUUCCUGACCUACAUUCCUGCAAAGCUGUCCACUGCAAUUCAGACUAGCCCUAAAUAUUGUAGGCAUGUGAAUUCCCCAUGUUUUCCUCACUUUUAAAAUGAGAUCUCCUAUGUUCUACCACUUAUCCCUCUGUUGUACUGAAAAUUACCUUGUCCUUACUUCUAUACUGCUUGCCAUUAGCCCUCAGUUCUGAACUGUUUCAUAUCUUUAUUUGCCCUGUUUGAACACACUGAUAAUUUCUCCAGCAUUCUUCAUUUUUACAGUGAUGGUUUUUGUUUCAUAUUGUUGCCAUUUUCUAGAUGUAUUUAAAGAUUGUGUUCAAAGAGUUUAAGGCCAGAUUUCUCUAAUCUCAUGUCGUUAACAUGAUGCACCACAAUUUCCACUCACUGACUGAACACCUUGCCCUUGGCUAAAGCAUCUUCUCUAGGAAGGAAUCCAAAUGUUGAUUUGAAAACUUCAAGCAAUUAAAAAUUCACCCAUUUGAAGUUAUGACAAAGUUCAAUUACACUCAUUGAUUACAAAAAAAAACCCGAAAGCAUACUUAUUUAUCAUUUUUGUCUGGCUUGCUUUCAUGAGUAUUCAUCCUUGGUGUCAUUUUCCCUGAUAAACUAGAGAUAUUUUGUUGCUCACAUCAUCUAAGCUACGACAUUCUUAAGUACUUCUCAUCUUUUGCAAACUUGCUCCAUCUGCCUCACUUUCUCUUUAAUUACUGGCUGAGUGAUUCUCCAUCCCUUACACCUUUUUUUUCUCAUGUUCCAAAUACCACUACGAGCCUCACUCAUUUCCUGUCACCCAGGACACCCUGCUGAAUUUGUGAAUAGUGGUUCACAUACGUAAGCACAUGUAGCGGCAUUUCAGACUGGUGUGUAGGGGCUGUGAAUCCUUUCUGCAUAUAAAAUACCAUGUACCCUAGAGCCUCUUCAGUCAGGACACUGUACAUCUCACCAAAGUGCUACAGAAGUCCUUGGAGGUCCUUCCACAAGCAGAGAAAGAAGGAGGGGGCAGAAAAUCUAAAGGGGUCACAUGAAAAAGCUAUUAAAUAACCUUUGGGCUUCUAUUUUAUUUAUUUAUUAAGCUAGACAAGGAGCAUGAAAAGGUAUGGAGGCACUUGGUUUCUUAAUUUGUGUCUAUUAUCUAUUGAAAUUUGACAUAAUGUCUCCACAGUUCUCCUUAAUAUCCCACAGUAUAUAGAAUGUGACUAGCUCCACCAUCUAAUGUGACAGUUUAGGAAGAUUAAAAAGAAAAGCUAAACUAGCAGUAGUUGGAGAUGAGAAAAAGUAGCACAUUUAUGAAUAAUUUCAGCUGAAUUCUAACAACAUUGCAUUCCCUGGACAGGAUACAUUUAUUAUCUUAUUCACCAUGACUACUGCAACAUUAGUGAUUUGUUACUGAAUCAAUUAUUAAUUCAUAUGAGUGAAUAAGGCUCUGUCACUUAACUCUUCAGCUGACCGUGCCCACUACACACUGAUUGCAAUUUUUAACAGUUUUCUCUCCUCUUAUCUUUACCCUUCCUGAGCAUCUGUAUUCACAGAGAUUGAUGCUUUCAAUUUCACAAAUAUGUUUGACAAAAGACACUUGUUUUCCUCGUACAUGUGAGACUCUCUUCAGGAAAGCUCCCCUUUUGAUAAUCAGCUUGGUACCCCAGUUGCCAAGAAGGCAACUGGUUUGGUAACAAUUUGAUUUGUGAAAGAGACUGGCUAAAAAGACAGACAAAUAAAGACACCUUCCCUCAAAAGCUUCUUGGGUUCCUACCACUCAGGAGCAAGAUUUUUAAUGGGUUGACAUAUUUGGUCACCAGGACAUAAAAGCUUUCUAGAAAAAAAACAUACAGAUAGCAGACUUUAUCUUCCAGUGGUGAGAUACAUGAACAGACAACAUCAUGGACUCAAUCCGAGCAGACGCAAAGAUAAAAUACCUGCACCAUGUGAUCUCACACUUUCAGCUAAUACCACUCUGUCUGUCAGCUAAUGAGAGAACCAGGCAACAAAUUUGAAGAGAUGGACUGUAUUCAAGGCUCUGUCAUGGAUUUACUGCCAUGGGCAGUGACAGUCACAUCUGAAUUUUGUUACCCUCCUGCCUUUGAGAAAAGACAUUAGGAAGAAAAGAGAACAUGCUAAAAUAUUCCCAGCAUCUCUUACAAGCAGUUGAAAUGACUGUCAUUAACUUACUCCUUGUCAUGUGUAGAGCACAGCUUACCAUUUGAACAGUACUGCCAAUGAAAUAUAUUGUGAUUAAACACAAAGCUGUGCUUAAACCCCAUGUGCAGAGUCACAGAAGAAGGCAAGCUCCAGUCCAGGAGUACUUUUAUUUUCAAAUUCUUCUACAGUCCUAUAGUUCAGUGGCUCAUCUCUGCCUGACACUGGCAAGAUGCACCCUUAGCUGCAUUCCUGGUCCUUCCAAGCAUACUGUGUCACCUCAGGGUGACCAUCAAUCUGUCCUUUGUGUUGACCAAAACAGUCACUGUUGUAUGAGUGAAGGAUGAAUAUGUAGCCACCUGUCCACUCCAACAAGCAGCAAUGUCUUAACAUAAGGAAAGGAAGAAUUUGCAGCAUCCCAUGGGUGUUCUUGGACCUCUCAGAAAGCUUGAACAUAUUCACAUCCAUCAUUCAACAGCACUGCCUUCAGAGAAUGCUAUAAAAUGAUGUGAGUAGGUACCAAGCACCAAUGUGCCUGCUGAAACUUGAUGGCUUUCUUAGAUACGAGAGUGUCUCUCAAAUCCCAACCCUUUGGAAAGGUUGAAGGCUUUUCCUUUCCUCCUUCACUCUGCCCUUCUCUGUCCCUCAGCAAAAAAGUUCCAGCAGAAGUGAUUAAGUUUCAAGACAACAAAAAAUGAUCUGAUGUUAAACCUAAAGACCUCUCAAAGGGACUUGUGUAUGUUUACUGAGAAAUUGUUUUGCAGAACGUAGAAAAAUGUUAGUUUCUCUAUCAUACCAUUGAAGCACAUUGACAUAAGGCCCUCCUUCAGCAGUGAUGGCUGGAAAUGAAGGACCUUCCAAUAUCUAUUAUAGAUGGACUGAAUCUCUAACAAUGACACCCUGGCAUCCCUUGGAUUAUUAAAAUUACCUGGGUAGCAUAGGUCAGUACAUACAAAAUCAGGAAGAUAAUGCUGAAAUCAACAGAGAUCUUCCAUUUUACUUUAACACUCCCUCAAAUGAAGCUUUCAGGGCAUAGGAUUCACACCCUUACUUACCAAACUGCAUUUCUGUUACUACAGUGUACAUUGAGGGUCAAUACAAAACCUUAAUAGCCAGGUUUUCCAGGAUAGCACUUACAUGAAAAAUUUCCACAAACUGUUCUUUGUAGUUCUUUAAUGAGAGACCAGAGAAGCAAAAAAACAUUUUUAGGGAGUUGAUUGUACGUCAUGCUUACUCACAGCUAAUGUCAGGCUGUUCCUCUCAGUGUUAUCACCUGAUGUAAAGGUUUCUACUGCCAUAAAAAGAUUAAAGACAUCCAAUUUACACAUAAAAUCUCUCUUCCCCAUGCUCCCUUGAACCCACUGUCCAAGCUCUGAGCACCACAAGAACUAGAGUAAAUAGCCUAAAUGAUGACAGGUCAAUUAGAGGAUUGAAAUCAUGUUCUAUUUCAUAAUCUGAGGUGUUAUAAGUAACACAGAAAGGGUUUGUCUACACCCACAGGAGUAAAUAUUUGAUUUUUAUCUUGACAUUGUCCUUUCAAGGAAAGUCAGAGAGGGGAACAGAGAGAGAUUAUAAAGAGGAUACUAAUGCAUUGUAAAGCCAAUGCUUUAUGGAUUACAGGGAGAUAGCAGAGGGAGGAUGACACCAAGUCCUUCUAAUUGUUAGAGAAUGGGACCAGUCUUUACAAAAUGACCCAUUCUGUCUACAAAGAGAGAUGUAAAAGACCUUGACUAAUUACUCUAUGUGGCAGUCACAACCAGUAUUUUUGCCCCACACAUGGUGAAAUCACAAGGUAGGACAUGGACUGACGUCCAAAUACAAACACAAACGCACAUUGCAUUGCUUGAUUUGGUCAGAGAAGGGAUGUUUUUGAGAUAGUCACAUGAAGAGGCCAGUAGUAAAAGAAAUAAUACUCAACCCUCUACAGUUCUAUUAGAGAAAACAGAGACUGAGAUCUGAUUGCUUUUUUUGUCAGUUUUUUGUUUUGUUUUGUUUUGUUUUAUUUUGUUUUGUUGUAAUUUUGCCCCCACACUGGUCUCAAUAUUCUUCCAUAUUCCAAUUCUCUCUUGUUUUCAUAUAGAAAAGGAUAUUUAAGUCUUAAAAGUUAUUUGCGUGAAUUUUACUCCAUGCCCCAGAAAGUGAAAUUCAUCUCUCAUUUUGCCACAAUACACAAUUGAAAUUAAGGUGGCUGUGAAAGAUGGGCAAGGUCUUAGCAUGAGCUAAGCUGGGUUGACAUGGAACUCAGGAAAACAAAGUUACUCAUGGAAAACAUUUGUUUAUAAAAGCCUAAAAGCACAAAAACAAACAAAGAAAAAAAUCCUCUAUCAUUUAAGCCUGUCCAUAAAUCCCAGUAAGACUGCAAAGUUGCAGCUUGCUUGGUAUGUUUUAUGGACAGAGAUCUUGCUGACUUGGCUGACACUAGCUAGGAGGCGGGGAAGGCAGGAAAGUUGAGAUUUGGGGUGGGUAAACAUUCCCAUCCAUCAAGUGAUUGGAUUUGCAACUAAAGCUGUGAAAGCCACAUCAGAUUAAUGUUGUCAGGGCAGGAAUGAUGUGAGAAUCUUCAGUCCUUAAUUCAAGUGACAGUAUCAGGGAACACACACUUGAGGCCAGGGCAGUUCUGGACUCAGUAAAUUCAGGCCAAGGUGAAGGGGGAAAAACUUCCACCUGAUUCACACCAUGUACAACAUGAGUAUCUUCUCAGCCUUUUGCACUUGGUGCAGAGAACAGCAGGGAGGGUGGAAGACAGGGUCCAACAACCAGCCCUGCAAUUUCCGUUCAGCUCCACAUCUCUUUUGUUCAGAGCAAGAUGCCCCAAUUGUGCUGAACCAUGUGAAAAAAUCAGCCUACAGAGACUUUUGUUCUUUGAAAUCUCUUAUUGAAGGAAGGAGCUGAGGCUGAGCAAUUUAAUUCACUUAGGACUUUUGUGUCUUAAUCCAUGGAGCAAGGUUUUCAAUCAGCUCUGGGGUGACGGGGGAAGGCGGCUCUGUGUGGGCUCCCCAGGGUGCAGGUGGGUGGGUGCAGGGUAGAGAGGGAGGCAAGGAGCUGAGUCCUGAUCCAUCACAGAGCCCCACCCAGCCUGACAGGAGCUGGCCGGGCAUUACUCCACACCAGCUUUCGGGAAUGCAAAGCAGCUUAUGCGGGUGGGUCAUUUCAGGACACUAAUAGUAAUGAAAACAAACCCUAAAACACACUCACACACCAAAUGACAGUGGGAAGUAGAGUCUGUGGGUGAAAAGAGAAGAGGUCCAACUCAUCCCUAAGGGGGCAGAUUGAAGAUGCACAGGAAUAAAUUAGCUUUAAGAAAACAGUAUAUACCAGGAGAAUCUAUCAGAAGGAGGAGACUAGGGGAAAAAAAAAAAAAAGUAAACAAUCAAAGAAGAAAACCCCAACAACCAAACAAAAGAGGGGUAUCAUUCGGACUGUAAGAGCAAGGAGACAAAGAAAAUUGGCUAACAGCCCUGGUUGCAGGACUUGGGCACUACCUUCAGCAUACGUGGGAGUCCACUGCUUUCCAUACUCAGUCCCUUCACACUUAUGUAGCCCUGCCAGGACAGGGACCACGUAACACCCUGACACUGAGACAGGGGGAGGCUUAACAGGGUGUGGGAAUGACCUCCAUUCUCAUGCAGAAUGGGAUGUGCUUUGCUCGCUCCUCACCUACACCCCAACCCAGUGUUUCCAGCUACCAAGGCAUCACUGCUUGCCCUCAUAGCUUACAGACUAUGAGUGCAGAAAAACUGCCAGAGACCAAGAUUUCUACAGUAUUUGGAAAUCAGAAGUCAUCCGAGGAAACAGAGCAAAAUUUUCUUCAUAUGGGUCCCUAUAUAUACACAUAAACCCAUCCACACACAUACAAACCUGUUUCCCUACAUCCCUGGCUUUAUGAAAGAUUUGCUUCUACUUUAAGGACACAGUUCAGGAAGGGCAGCUGUUGAAUCACAUUUCUCCAUAGAGCAUACAGCUCUGAAGCUAAAUGUUAUCAUGAAAGUCCCUAUGGGCUGAAGCUGGGAAGGAAAAACAGACUCCUGACCUGCAGUUGUUAAAAAUGGCUUUUUGCAGGAGAAUGGUAAUGUGAGGCUCUAUCUUACAGCAGGCUAAAAAAAUAGCACCGUGAAUUCAAAUUAUGCAUGCUUUUGGUGCCUUGAAAAUCAAAACAAAAAAGACCAGCCCUGCAUUUAAUCACUAUUAGAAAUAGUAUUGGGACAGGUCUGUGGUGUGCUGAAGAGUCUAAGACAGUCACGGCUGUUUAGUGCAGAGAACAGAAGGUUUUAAGGUGACUUUAUUGUGGCUUUUCAGAACCUAAAGGGGAUUUACAAGAAAGCUAGAGAGGGACUUUUUGCAAGGACAUUUAAUGGCAGAAUGAGGGAGAAUGGUUUUAAUGUGAAAGAUAACAAAAAUAUUUUUUCUUGUGGGUGUGGUGAGGCACUAGCACAGAUUGCCCAGAGAAUAGAUGCCCCAUCCCUGAAAAUAUUCAAGGCCAGGCUGGAAGGUCUCUGAGCACCUCAUCUAGGAACCUUAGGAAGGUGUCCCUGCCCCUGACAGGGGGUUUUAGUGAGAGGAUCUUUAAGGUCCCUUCAAACCAAAACACUUCUGUGUCCCUGUGGUUCUAGACCUGGUUCCUCCCAAGAUCUGACUGCUGUAGAGACACAGAAUUAACAAGGCUGGAGAUAUACAGGUAGGCUGCUGUGAUGGUUUUGAAGCAGCUGAGCCCAUGACAUCAAGAUCUGGUGGCAGCUG